rnacentral:misc_RNA from 1 species
ACCAUUGGUUCGCGUUUCCGAAGGGGUCCUAAAAGCGAUGGAAGGUUAACCCUAGAAGAAUUAAGAAAGUUCUAGAAGAUGGAUGACAGUUGCUGCCCAACAAAAUGAAGAGAAUAUUUCGAGAGUGCAUGUGAUUUAGGGAUUUUUCUUGCUUAUACUUUAGAUAACAAGCAUGUAAAAGGGAAGGGAAAUCUAUAUAAAGGUUAGUAAUAGAAUAAAGAGGCAUGCUGAAUAAUUAUUUGUUUUUACCAGCUCUGUGUAGUUUGAUGGGCAGAGAUACUUCUGCUGGGGAAAUUCAUUCUUGUAUUAAGAUUGAUUUUCAUUUUUAUGUAAUAUAAAUUCUCUUCUCACCAUCUCUGUUCUUUCAUUUACUCCCUAGUUGCUUGUACUAGACAAUUCUUAGGUCCUUACUCUGUCAAAUUGGUUCGACCUUGUUGUUCGAAUGCCCAAUACCAAGACGAAUAGCAGAUUUGACACGAUAGUGAGGAUCGUUUCUAAACGAGAAGAUGGAUUUGUUAAACUUUGCAUUGGUAACGAGCAACUUCACUUCAAACUCUCCGCCAUUGAAGAUUUGUUGACUACUAUCGCAAGAGGGAAAAUUAUGAUUUUUGGAAGUGAGGUUACUAACCAGCAUACACUCGCUCCAGCUUCUUCUGGCAAUGCUUCUGCAUAUCGCCCUAAGGAAUUCCAAUCUCUUGAUCAAACUCUUUUCACUACUCGUGGCAUUGAGCUCCCUCUCUUCAAUGGCACUCCCUUGUGUUGGCUCACCCAUGCUGAGCAAUUUUUCGGGCUAAAUGGAACUCGUCCAAACCACAAGAUUCAUCUGGCCAUCAUUUGCAUGGAAGGAGGUGCACUUCAUUGGUUGCGUUGGCUGCGACAACGAAAUCCCACCCUGAACUGGGAACAAUUUGCCAUUGAAAUUGUGAAUCAUUAUGGCUCAAAUGGCAUUAUUAGCCCAUUUGAAUGAUUAACGGCAGUGAAGCAAACAGGGUGUGUUGAUGAGUAUAUUGAUGACUUUGUUGCUAGGGCGUUAACUGUCAGAUCCACACUGUUGGAAAAAGCAAAAGCAUAUUAAUAACAUUUAUUUUUUCCUCAUACAUCUGAUUUCAAACCAUGGAAGCAAAAUAAUAGGUCUGCAUGUUCCCUUGCUCUACAUACGAUCUCCAUUUUUACAUUUCCUUUACCAUCAUUGACAGCAGCAGAGCAUCUUAUAUUAUUUUUAUCACAUGAUUUUAAUGAUCAUUGUCUUAUCUAUUCCCCAAAAACUACCAUUGCACUUAUUUUCUCUUUUUUCCCUCGUACAGCUGAUUCUUCUCAUCUUUCAUUCUUGAUCUAUCACCACUGAUGCCACUAACCUAUUCCAUACCAUUUUUUACCUCUUUGUUGGCUGCUACAUGCACUUAGAAAAUCACCAGUGAUGGUCAAACACAGAGGGACAAAAAAAUAAGAGAAAAAACCAAUGUGGAUUUACAACGGCACCUUGCCAAUCACAACACAACCUUCGAAAACACAGUUGUUAUUAGCAAUUGUUAGAGCAACAAAUAGAAAAAAAGAUUAAAAAAAAUAAAUAAAUAACAUAAACAAAGCAAUAACAUUCAAGAUAGCAAGAGCAAAAAAGCACAACAACAUAGAAGAGGCAAGAGAAUUCUAAAAAACCUUGAACCACUGAAUCAAGUGAAAAGGCCACACAUUCGAUAUGGAUCUCCAAAGCAAAGCAAAUGAAGGAGCAUCGAGUUUGAUCUAAAAUCUCAUUCCUCACCUACGCUCAUCCUCUUUCUCAUGAAAUGCAGAACUCGUCUAUCAAGCAAAAAACAAAAAAAAUCUACUCGAAUCUCAUCGUAUCCAUGUAUACCUUUGGAUAUGGAAUACUAAAUAGGAAGAUAUGGUAAAUUUGGAGCAUGGGCAACAAAUUUGGAGAAGAAAAGCCUAAAAUGACAUCAUUCUUGUGAAGAGAAUGGGUAGAGGAAAUACAAACAACGUUGUUUUGCUUGGUGGCAUGGGCAACAACAUCAAGAAGACAUGGGUGGAAGAACAGAAGAAAACUCAAAACAAAUAAGACAAACAAAGAUUAAAAAGCCAAACUCUCCAAACAUAAUAAGCACAUAAGAUUUGUAAUUUGAAGAUUCUCAAAUCAAUUUGACUUGUACUGUUCACUAUUAUAGUAACAGAUAUCUUUUUUUAAAUGUAUAGCAAUAGACAAAACAGUAAAAUAAGAACUUGGAUCCCUCCGCCCAUUCUCUCUCUCUUUCUUUUGGGUACCGAGAGCUUGUCUCUUUUGCUUGCCAAACUACGUGGCUUUCCCCUACUCCUUUCAGGCGGGGGAUGGCUUCCCUCGCAUUCCGUCGGAUGUGGGUUGUCCCUCUUUACCUCCUAGUGAAGCUUGUGAAUAAAUAAAGCAUGGUUUUUGCUUUUGUUGUGGUUUGUUUUUGUAGGUGGUUCUUAUUGAGAGGGUUGCAAGUUGUCUAUGCUUCACUCUUGAUCAUAGUCAUGGCUAUGAAAGAUGAUGACGGGAUGGAUGGAGUUUCUACUGUGGGUUUGUAGAUCUGCUUCUUCAGGUUACUUUUGGCGUAUGGUAUCUCCAAGAUGCCAACUGUAGCAUCCAAUCCCUGAAAUGGUCGAUAGAGAGAUCUAUGGAGCUUUGCUUGCCACCCGAAUAAACUUCUAUCCAUUAGCCCAAUCUUAGCUUAAAAUGUGUCUUCGGUAGAGAAGAGACACUAAUGGUUCUCUAGUUUUUUCUUUUCUUCUCGAUGGAAGUCUCUUCUCUAUUGUUCUUACUGGAAUUUUUCUGUAUUUUAGGCUACCGCUUGCUGGUUGGUCUUGGUCGAAUCCGUAAGCUCUUGGUUUGCGAUGAGUUGAUGUUUGUUCCUGUGUUGUUUAGGUUGCAAAUGGGUGGUUUUCGGGUUCUAGGGCUCCGAUUAUGUUGGGUUGAUGGUAUUUCUUGUUGGGCUGGGUAGUUUGUAAAGAUAGGGCCUUUUUUGUAACCCAUGUUAGUGCUUGAUGUGUUUGGGCCCUAACCCUUUUCCAAUAUUAAUGAACUAUUUAUCUCCAG